rnacentral:rRNA from 1 species
UGUGUAGGCGGUUCUUUAAGUUUGGUGUGAAAUCUCCCGGCUUAACCGGGAGGGUGCGCCGAAUACUGAGGGACUAGAGUACGGGAGAGGAAAGUGGAAUUCCUGGUGUAGCGGUGAAAUGCGUAGAUAUCAGGAGGAACACCGGUGGUGUAGACGGCUUUCUGGACCGUAACUGACGCUGAUACACGAAAGCGUGGGUAGCAAACAGGAUUAGAUACCCUGGUAGUCCACGCCCUAAACGAUGCAUAUUUGGUGUGGGCAGUUCAUUCUGUCCGUGCCGGAGCUAACGCGUUAAAUAUGCCGCCUGGGGAGUACAGUCGCAAGGCUGAA